GGAAUCAGCGUGUGCUUUCCCUGUCCGACAGGACUGGGUAACCCGUUGAACCUCCUUCGUGCUGGGGAUAGGGGCUUGUAACUAUUCCCCUUGAACGAGGAAUUCCCAGUAAGCAUGAGUCAUUAGCUCGUGUUGAUUACGUCCCUGCGCUUUGUACACACCGCCCGUCGCUAUUAUCGAUGAAUGUUGGAGUGAGAUCUUCGGACUGGUGCCCGGACUGGACUUUGCGGUUCGAGCCGGAGUGCCGGAAAGA
rnacentral:rRNA from 1 species